rnacentral:rRNA from 1 species
AUUGAACGCUGGCGGCAGGCCUAACACAUGCAAGUCGAGCGGAUGAAGGGAGCUUGCUCCUGGAUUCAGCGGCGGACGGGUGAGUAAUGCCUAGGAAUCUGCCUGGUAGUGGGGGAUAACGUCCGGAAACGGGCGCUAAUACCGCAUACGUCCUGAGGGAGAAAGUGGGGGAUCUUCGGACCUCACGCUAUCAGAUGAGCCUAGGUCGGAUUAGCUAGUUGGUGGGGUAAAGGCCUACCAAGGCGACGAUCCGUAACUGGUCUGAGAGGAUGAUCAGUCACACUGGAACUGAGACACGGUCCAGACUCCUACGGGAGGCAGCAGUGGGGAAUAUUGGACAAUGGGCGAAAGCCUAAUCCAGCCAGGCCGCGGGUGUGAAGAAGGUCUUCGGAUUGAAAAGCACUUUAAGUUGGGAGGAAGGGCAGUAAGUUAAUACCUUGCUGUUUUGACGUUACCAACAGAAUAAGCACCGGCUAACUUCGUG